GAAUGACACUAGGGGUGCUUUUGAAGCUGAGAUUAUACCCAUUGAACCUGAAACAGUUAGUACUGGCGCAGGGAAUGUGUGAUGUUUAGAAU
rfam:Enterococcus avium ATCC 14025 genomic scaffold acpMO-supercont1.3, whole genome shotgun sequence.